AGCGAUGGUCCCUUCUGUCUGCCAGGGUGGGAUCGGGCACUCAUCCAGUUGCAGGUGUGAGCACUAUUGAGUAGCACAGGGUCUUGAGCUGUGGCCAUGGACUUGGGCAACAGGAAAUUAGAAAUAUCCUCUGGAAAGCUGGCCAGAUUUGCAGAUGGCUCUGCUGUAGUACAGUCAGGUGACACUGCAGUAAUGGUCACAGCGGUCAGUAAAACAAAACCUUCACCUUCCCAGUUUAUGCCUUUGGUGGUUGACUACAGACAAAAGGCUGCUGCAGCAAGUAGAAUUCCCACAAACCCUCUGAGAAGAGAGAUUGGUACUUCUGAUAAAAAAAAUUCUUACAAGUUGAAUAAUAGAUUGUUCAAUUAGACCUAUCUUUCCAGCUGGCUACUUCUAUGAUAUACAGGUUCUGUGUAAUCUGUUAGCUGUAGGUGGUAUUAAUGAGCUUGAUGUCUUAGCAAUUAAUGGCGUCUCUGUAGCCCUCUUAUGAUCAGAUAUUCUUUGGAAUGGACCUGUUGGGGCAGUAUGAACAGGAAUGACUGAUGGAGAAUGUGUUGUUAACCCAACAAGAAAAGAAAUGUCUUCUAGUACUUUAAAUGUAGUGGUUGCUGGAGCACCUAAAAGUCAGAUUGUCAUGUUGGAAGCCUCUGCAGAGAACAUUUUACAGGAGGACUUUUGCCAUGCUGUCAAAGUGGUAGUGAGAUAUACCCAACAAAUAAUUCAGGACAUCCAGCAGUCGGUAAAGAAAUUGGUGUUACCAAGAGGACACCUCAGAAGUUACUUACCCCUUCACCAGAGAUUGUGAAACAUGCUUAUAAACUUGCUAUGGAGAGACUCUAUGCAGUUUUUACAGAUUGUGAACAUGAUAAAAUUUCCAGAGAUGAAGCUGUUAACAAAAUAAGAUUAGAUACAGAGGAGCAACUAAAAGAAAUAUUUCCAGAGGUUGAUCUAUAUGAAAUAAUAGAAUUAUUCAAUGUUGUUGCAAAGGAAGUUUUUAGAAGUAUUAUUUUGAAUGAAUACAAAAGAUGCCAUGGUCGGGAUUUGACUUUACUUAGGAAUAUAGCUUGUGAGGUAGAUAUGUUUAAAACCCUUCGUGGAUCAGAAUUAUUUCAAAGAGGACAACACAGGUGCUUUGUACUGUUACAUUUGAUUCAUUAGAAUCCAGUAUUAAGUUGGAUCAAGUUAUAAUAGCUAUAAAUGGGAUAUAUGGGAUACUAUGAGUUUCCUUCUUAUGCAACUAAUGAAAUUGUCAACGUCACUGGUUUAAAUAGAAGAGAACUUGGGCAUGGUGCUCUUGCUGAGAAAGCUUUGUAAAAUGUUAUUCCUAAAUAUUUUCUUAUCACUGUAAGAGUUACAUCUCAAGUCCUAGAGUCAAAUGGGCCAUGUUCUAUGGCAUCUGCAUGGGGUGGAAGUUUAGCGUUAAUGGAUUCAGGGGGUCCAAUAUCACCUACUGUCACAGGCGUAGCAAUGGGAUUGGCCACCAAAACCGAUCUUGAGAAGGGUGAAAUAGAAGAUUAUCAUUUGCUAACAGAUAUUCUGGGAAUUGAAGAUUACAGUGGUGACAUGGACUUCAAAAUAGCUGGCACUAAUAAAGGGAUAACUGCAUUACACGCUGAUAUUAAAUUACCUGGAAUACCAAUGAAAAUUGUAAUGGAGGCUAUUCAACAAGCUUCAGUGGCAAAAAAGGAGAUAUUACAGAUCAUGAACAAAACUAUUUCAAAAUCUCAAACAUCUAGAAAAGAAAAUGGACCUGCUGUAGAAACUGUUCAGGUUCCAUUAUCAAAACUAGAAAAACUUGUUGGACUGGGUGGAUAUAACUUAAAAAACAUCAGGUUGAAACAGUUGUAACUAUUAGUCAGGUGGAUGAAGAAACAUUUUCUAUAUUUGCAUCAACACCCAGUGCUAUGCAUGAGGCAAGAGACUUCAUUGCCGAAAUCUGCAAGGAAGAUCAGGAACAGCAAUUAAAAUUUGGAGCAGGGUAUACCGCCACAAUAACUGAAAGCAGAGAUACUGGUGCAAUGGUAAAAUUAUAUCCAAAUAUGACUGCGGUACUGCUUUAUAACACACAAGUUGAUCAAUGAAAGAUUAAACAUCCUACUGCCCUAGGAUUAGAAGUUGGCCAAGAAAUUCAGGUGAAAUACUUUGGAUGUGACCCAGCUGAUGGAAGAAUGAGGCUUUCUCAUAAAGUGCUUCAGUCUCCAGCUACAACUGUUGUCAGAAGUUUGAAUGACAGAAGCAGUAUUGUAAUGGGAAAACCUAUUUUACAGUCAUCUAAUUAUUCUCAGUGA